CAUAGAGAAUAACCCCUAAAAAAAGAAUAGAGAAUGAUUCUAAGCCUUUAGAUCUAAAGAAUCGGAUGGUGUAGAUAAAUUCGAAAAAAAUAAAAAUAAAAACUGAAAACUGCGUGGACUACAGAAUUUUACCAAAUCAGAAUGCGGAGGGUUUUUUUCGGAAAUUCACCACAAAGGUAAAUCAAGUAGUUCCGAAAAUCACUCCAUCCAUCUUUCAUCUACGAAAUUCACUAUCGCCGUUUCAACCAUUCUCGAAUAGGGUUUUCGAAAAUUCACUCUUCCAUCGCUGCGAAUUAGAAGAUUUGAAGUCGCCAUUUGGAGUAUCUUCGAGAUUUGGAGAAGAGUAAACAACGAUUAGAAGACUUGAUGACGAAAUUGGGAGAGCCGUGUUUUCCUGGAAGUCAGUGGAGAUGCACUUGAAGAUGUAUGCUGUGAUUUGUUGAUUUAGUCGCAGAGCUUCUUGUUCAUUGGAUUGAAUAUUUUAUUCAUCGAUAAUUGUGUUAUGUUCAUUAAGCAAUUGUUAUUUGUUCAUUGAAAAUUUGUUAUUAUUCAUUGCAAACUAUAUUCAUGAAUUUUCAGUAA